rnacentral:SRP_RNA from 1 species
ACUGCUAUCUCAGCAAUCAAUUUCGAACCAAGUCAGGUUAGAAAUAAAGCAGCUUUAAGAAAGGGUUUGUGUGAGGUAGCUUUUAU